CUGAUUCCCAAGGCAGCAAUGAUCAGAGGGGAUGGGCUGCUCCUGUUAAAGUUCUUCUGUCAAAUUUGAGGGCUUGGUUGAUCAUUUUAUGAACCAAUUUCCUGAGAUCUCAGCACACUUCAUGCUUUGCGGUUUCUCCUGGGCUCACCUUUCAGGAGCUAUAGCCAGUGACUGCAGUAUGGCUUGACUACAUGUUUUUGCACCUGUUUUGGCUGCAAUGUUCAGAGGUUUGUCUUGUGGGUCCAAGCAGUCCUGUCUGGAUG
rnacentral:lncRNA from 1 species